rnacentral:rRNA from 1 species
AACGAACGCUGGCGGCAUGCCUAACACAUGCAAGUCGAACGAGACCUUCGGUCUAGUGGCGCACGGGUGCGUAACGCGUGGGAAUCUGCCCUUAGGUUCGGAAUAACUCAGGGAAACUUGAGCUAAUACCGGAUAAUGACGUAAGUCCAAAGAUUUAUCGCCUAGGGAUGAGCCCGCGUAGGAUUAGCUAGUUGGUGAGGUAAAAGACUCACCAAGGCGACGAUCCUUAGCUGGUCUGAGAGGAUGAUCAGCCACACUGGGACUGAGACACGGCCCAGACUCCUACGGGAGGCAGCAGUGGGGAAUCUUGCGCAAUGGGCGGAAGCCUGACGCAGCAACGCCGCGUGCGGGAGGAAGGCC